rnacentral:rRNA from 1 species
ACUUCCGCCGGCGACCGGCGCACGGGUGAGUAGCACGUAUGGAACCUGCCCGUAGCAGGGGGAUAAGCGGAAGAAAUUCCGUCUAAUACCGCGUAAUAACUCCGAGAGGCAUCUCAUGGGGUUUAAAGGGUGACACCGGCUACGGAUGGCCAUGCGGCGCAUUAGCUAGUUGGCGGGGUAACGGCCCACCAAGGCGACGAUGCGUAGGGGUUCUGAGAGGAAGGUCCCCCACACUGGUACUGAGACACGGACCAGACUCCUACGGGAGGCAGCAGUGAGGAAUAUUGGUCAAUGGGCGCGAGCCUGAACCAGCCAAGUCGCGUGAGGGAAGACGGUCCUAUGGAUUGUAAACCUCUUUUGUCGGGGAGCAAAAGACGCCACGUGUGGCGUUCCGAGAGUACCCGAAGAAAAAGCAUCGGCUAACUCCGUGCCAGCAGCCGCGGUAAUACGGAGGAUGCGAGCGUUAUCCGGAUUUAUUGGGUUUAAAGGGUGCGCAGGCGGAAGAUCAAGUCAGCGGUAAAAUUGAGAGGCUCAACCUCUUCGAGCCGUUGAAACUGGUUUUCUUGAGUGAGCGAGAAGUAUGCGGAAUGCGUGGUGUAGCGGUGAAAUGCAUAGAUAUCACGCAGAACUCCGAUUGCGAAGGCAGCAUACCGGCGCUCAGCUGACGCUCAUGCACGAAAGUGUGGGUAUCGAACAGGAUUAGAUACCCUGGUAGUCCACACAGUAAACGAUGAAUACUAAUUGUUCGGGGAGAAUGAUCCCUGAGUGAUACAGCGAAAGCGUUAAGUAUUCCACCUGGGGAGUACGCCGGCAACGGUGAAACUCAAAGGAAUUGACGGGGGCCCGCACAAGCGGAGGAACAUGUGGUUUAAUUC